GUGAUUCUUCGGGGCUGGGUGAAAUUCCCGACCGGCGGUAAAGUCCGCGAGCGGUUAGAGUGCUAGCCGCUGAUUUGGUGAAAUUCCAAAACCGACAGUAAAGUCUGGAUGGGAGAAGAGUCGA
rnacentral:ncRNA from 2 species